AGAGUUUGAUCAUGGCUCAGAUUGAACGCUGGCGGCAGGCCUAACACAUGCAAGUCGAGCGGUAGCACAGAGAGCUUGCUCUCGGGUGACGAGCGGCGGACGGGUGAGUAAUGUCUGGGAAACUGCCUGAUGGAGGGGGAUAACUACUGGAAACGGUAGCUAAUACCGCAUAACGUCGCAAGACCAAAGUGGGGGACCUUCGGGCCUCAUGCCAUCAGAUGUGCCCAGAUGGGAUUAGCUAGUAGGUGGGGUAACGGCUCACCUAGGCGACGAUCCCUAGCUGGUCUGAGAGGAUGACCAGCCACACUGGAACUGAGACACGGUCCAGACUCCUACGGGAGGCAGCAGUGGGGAAUAUUGCACAAUGGGCGCAAGCCUGAUGCAGCCAUGCCGCGUGUGUGAAGAAGGCCUUCGGGUUGUAAAGCACUUUCAGCGGGGAGGAAGGCGAUAAGGUUAAUAACCUUGUCGAUUGACGUUACCCGCAGAAGAAGCACCGGCUAACUCCGUGCCAGCAGCCGCGGUAAUACGGAGGGUGCAAGCGUUAAUCGGAAUUACUGGGCGUAAAGCGCACGCAGGCGGUCUGUCAAGUCGGAUGUGAAAUCCCCGGGCUUAACCUGGGAACUGCAUUCGAAACUGGCAGGCUAGAGUCUUGUAGAGGGGGGUAGAAUUCCAGGUGUAGCGGUGAAAUGCGUAGAGAUCUGGAGGAAUACCGGUGGCGAAGGCGGCCCCCUGGACAAAGACUGACGCUCAGGUGCGAAAGCGUGGGGAGCAAACAGGAUUAGAUACCCUGGUAGUCCACGCCGUAAACGAUGUCGAUUUGGAGGUUGUGCCCUUGAGGCGUGGCUUCCGGAGCUAACGCGUUAAAUCGACCGCCUGGGGAGUACGGCCGCAAGGUUAAAACUCAAAUGAAUUGACGGGGGCCCGCACAAGCGGUGGAGCAUGUGGUUUAAUUCGAUGCAACGCGAAGAACCUUACCUGGUCUUGACAUCCACAGAACUUAGCAGAGAUGGUUUGGUGCCUUCGGGAACUGUGAGACAGGUGCUGCAUGGCUGUCGUCAGCUCGUGUUGUGAAAUGUUGGGUUAAGUCCCGCAACGAGCGCAACCCUUAUCCUUUGUUGCCAGCGGUUAGGCCGGGAACUCAAAGGAGACUGCCAGUGAUAAACUGGAGGAAGGUGGGGAUGACGUCAAGUCAUCAUGGCCCUUACGACCAGGGCUACACACGUGCUACAAUGGCAUAUACAAAGAGAAGCGACCUCGCGAGAGCAAGCGGACCUCAUAAAGUAUGUCGUAGUCCGGAUUGGAGUCUGCAACUCGACUCCAUGAAGUCGGAAUCGCUAGUAAUCGUAGAUCAGAAUGCUACGGUGAAUACGUUCCCGGGCCUUGUACACACCGCCCGUCACACCAUGGGAGUGGGUUGCAAAAGAAGUAGGUAGCUUAACCUUCGGGAGGGCGCUUACCACUUUGUGAUUCAUGACUGGGGUGAAGUCGUAACAAGGUAACCGUAGGGGAACCUGCGGUUGGAUCACCU
rnacentral:rRNA from 1 species